CCUGGAGCUGCUGUAGAUCGUUUAUCUGCUGCUGCGAGUCUUUAUCUAAGUGUAAUUUCUCCUGCUGGACUCUCUCAUGUGGUCAAGGUGACCCUGGUGAAACUCUUCAGCCUCGGCUUCAAUCUGUGUUUUUAUAAGAAAAAGCUCCUGCAGUUUCCCUCCCCCUGUUUCUGACCCCGCCCACUGACUCCGCCCCCCGCCACGGACUCGCCCAAUCUCCUCCUGAGCCGACCGGAAUCUGAGAUUUGAGCCCUGCAGGACGUUCAAUUUCAAGGUCUCCCCGACAGCAAACCCAAUAACGGCGGCUCCUGGCACCUCGCUGGCAGAUCCGCGUCCUUGACGACCGGCUCCUGAAUGUCGUUGAACAUCUGUCGCUAGGCGAGCGACUGUAUCAUCUCCUAGUGCAUGUAGGAACAGAGUUAAGCGGUUCUCCGGGUCUCUGUGGUUCUGCCGGACUCUCUGUAUUCAGGACGCUUCGCCAGGGACGUUCUCUGAUUCCUGAUUCCGGAACGGCGGAGGCUGAAGGUGAGGCUCUGAGAUCGGAGCGCCGUCGGAAAGAGGAAACAUACGAACAGACUCCGGCUGCUGAUGCAGAAAGAGCAUGACCCGAUGAAGAGGGGACAAUAAAGAGGGAUGGAUGGGGGAAAGCCCUCCCCA
rnacentral:lncRNA from 1 species